AGGUCCAGGUGACACGCACAGGUGCGCAGCUACAGUGUCACACUCACCUGUGUGUGCAGGUGCCGGUGUCACACACACCUGUGUGUGCAGCUACAGUGUCACACUCACCUGUGUGUGCAGCUACAGUGUCACACUCACCUGUGUGUGCAGGUACCGGUG